ensembl:lncRNA
GCUGGGUAUGCCAAACAAUAAUCCCAUCAUUGAACCACCACAAAGGGUACAAUUAAUGAGAAGUGGAAAAAGCCAAUUUGGGGGUUAAAGCACCCACACCCCUUCUUUGAAAAAAUUGGUGCAAGCUAGCAUGUUACAUGACCUACAUGACCAUUACCUCUGUAAUGUUGAUGCUGUUGGACAGGAUGGUAUUUACUAUCUGCGCUGCGGAAGUGAUGUUUGAGGCCGUCAGCUGCUCUGGUCUUGAAGUAAGGAUCUGUGUACUGCUUGCUAGCUGCUGUGCUUCCACUGCCCCAAGUGAAACCGUGACCUGAUCGGAGGACAUGGAAAGACAUAAAAUACAUAGAUUUGGAGGAAAACACACAAACAGAAAGGUUGCAGAUCUUCAAACUACUAACAAUUACCUCAGUUACUCACAUUGGCUUGAAUAUUCUCAAGGGUUAAUUCACAUUCAAUUUUUUCAAUGGAGUCAAAUUUUGGGUUUCCAUUGUUGUACGAGCACCUGGCUGAGGCUCUGGAAAUACCAGCUAUAUGGAGUGGAAGGAGAGGAAGGGAGGGGACAAAUCUAAAUGUUUGAUUUGCCCAAAUGGCAUGAAAUAACUCAACAUGUUAUCAAUCCUUGUCAAGAGGUUUAAAUACCGUUGGUUGUACGAGGUGGACACAUCUGUGAAGAGUAAGCGAACCAGCCAACUACAGUUUGUGGGAACUCGAAAUCUUCCAGUUGAGUCUUAUUACAGAAGUUAGCUAAAAUAAUGAAAAUAUAGACAAUAGUUUAGGACCAUAGCAAUAAUCUGUACAUACUAUGCAGCAGAUUCAGUACAUUAGUGAAAUGAAUCAAACUGUAUAAUACUUGUGCAUGACCAGUGACAUCGAACAUGUCGAUAAUAAUCUCAAACCCCAACUGAACAUUACAUAUUGGACAUAAUUGUAAAUCCAAAAUCAGCCCGUCAAAGAGGGAAAUGUACUGCUAUCUCCCACAUUAUACAAUGGAAUGAUGAGGAAAUGAUUCGCACCAAUAGAGCAGGUGUCACCACUCCACUCAUCUGGACAGAUGCAGACUCCAUCUUGCACCAUGCCACCGUUGAAGCAUUUUAGUGGGACUUGAGGGGUUGUGGUAAUGGUAGGGGGAAGUAAAGUGGUAUAGGGAGUAGUUGAUGGAGGAGUUGUAGUAUAAUUGACAGUAGCUUCAGGAGUAACUACAUUACUUGAUGUUGUGGCAGGAGUAGAGAGAGCUGUAGUCAUAGUAAGCGUACUUGAUUGAGGGGUUGUGGUAUUGGUAGGGGGAAGUAGAGUGGUAUUGGGAGUAGUUGAUGGAGGAGUUGUAGUAUAAUUGACAGUAGCUUCAGUAGUAACUGCAGUAAUUGAUGUUGUGGCAGGAGAGGAGAGAGCUGUAGUCAUAGUAAGCGUACUUGAUUGAGGGGUUGAGGUAUUGGUAGGGGGAAGUAGAGUGGUAUUGGGAGUAGUUGAUGGAGGAGUUGUAGUAUAAUUGACAGUAGCUUCAGGAGUAACUGCAGUACUUGAUGUUGUCGCAGGAGUAGAGAGAGCUGUAGUCAUAGUAAGCGUACUUGAUUGAGGGGUUGAGGUAUUGGUAGGGGGAAGUAGAGUGGUAUUGGGAGUAGUUGAUGGAGGAGUUGUAGUAUAAUUGACAGUAGCUUCAGGAGUAACUGCAGUACUUGAUGUUGUGGCAGGAGUAGAGAGAGCUGUAGUCCUAGUAAGCGUACUUGAUUGAGGGGUUGUGGUAUUGGUAGGGGGAAGUAGAGUGGUAUUGGGAGUAGUUGAUGGAGGAGUUGUAGUAUAAUUGACAGUAGCUUCAGGAGUAACUGCAGUACUUGAUGUUGUCGCAGGAGUAGAGAGAGCUGUAGUCAUAGUAAGCGUACUUGAUUGAGGGGUUGAGGUAUUGGUAGGGGGAAGUAGAGUGGUAUUGGGAGUAGUUGAUGGAGGAGUUGUAGUAUAAUUGACAGUAGCUUCAGGAGUAACUGCAGUACUUGAUGUUGUGGCGGGAGUAGAGAGAGCUGUAGUCAUAGUAAGCGUACUUGAUUGAGGGGUUGUGGUAUUGGUAGGGGGAAGUAGAGUGGUAUUGGGAGUAGUUGAUGGAGGAGUUGUAGUAUAAUUGACAGUAGCUUCAGGAGUAACUGCAGUACUUGAUGUUGUUGCAGGAGUAGAGAGAGCUGUAGUCAUAGUAAGCGUACUUGAUUGAGGGGUUGUGGUAUUGGUAGGGGGAAGUAGAGUGUUAUUGGGAGUAGUUGAUGGAGGAGUUGUAGUAUAAUUGACAGUAGCCUCAAUAGUAACUGCUGUACUUGAUGUUGUGUUAGGAGUAGAGAGAGCUGUAGUCCUAGUAAGCGUACUUGAUUGAGGGGUUGUGGUAUUGGUAGGGGGAAAUAGAGUGGUAUUGGGAGAAGUUGAUGGAGGAGUUGUAUUAUAGGAGACAGUAGCUUCAGUAGUAACUGCAGUACUUGAUCUUGUGGCAGGAGAGGAGGGAGCUGUAGUCAUAGUAAGCGUACUUGAUUGAGGGGUUGUGGUAUUGGUAGGGGGAAGUAGAGUGUUAUUGGGAGUAGUUGUGGCAAGAGUGAAGAUAGCUGUGGGAGAAACAGGAGUGCUGGAUGGAGAAGUUGGGUUAGGAUGGGAGAUGUUGAUGGUUGUUGCUGAUGGUUGAGUCCCAGUAGACUGUGGACUGUGAGAUACAGCAGGUGUCACACCGGAGAGAGUAGUAUCAGCUUGGCCAACAGUGCUAGAAUAAUUAAAGGGAAAAAGGAGAAUUGUUGUGCUGUAGUCUGGAUUUGUGGUUGGGAGAGUUUGGGCUGUAUUGAAUAGUGCUGUAAAAGAGAUACAGGCACAUUAGAAGACAGAUAAAUAAGAAAACUCCUCAUAACAUUUUAAGCUUAUUCAUGUUAUGGAAAUAAAAUAUAGUAUGAGCCUGUCUUGUCAUUCAGAAAGGUUAAUGACAGCUAUAACCUUCAGUUUCACUUUAACUUUACUCUUUGCAUGACAUUCAAAUUAGGGAGCUUAUUAUGUGGCCAAAAUGUCAAGGGGCCUAUGUGGUUUAAGAACAAGAAGCAAUAGCUAUUUUCAUGAAACACAAUGGUGGCCAAAUGAAAUGAUUCAUGAGGGUAAAUAAUUCUUAAUUUAAAGCUUAAAAUGUAUUUAAUACAAUUUAGUAUAACUUUUGUAUAUCAUUAUAUACAAUACAUUGUGGUGGAUAAAUAAAGGACACAGCUAUUGAUAAAUCUUUUAGUACAUUUUCAGAAACACCACGUAUGUCAAACAUAGACUAAAUGCUAAUAGUUAUUCAUUUGGCAAAUGCCCAUGCUGAGAUGAUUAAUCAGAUUUGCUUAAACAAAUGAAAAACCUGACAUCAUACUUUCAGCAGCUUUUGAAACCAAAUGAAAGCAACUCAAGCAAACUAAAUAAGCAAAAACAGAAAUGCUACACUGAUGAAUGACAUUGAAUAACACGGAACGCAAUCUGUAACAUGAUAUUCGCUUAUGAUAAGGUUCAAAUACUUGGUUACAUAGAAGCAUGGUAACAACAUGCAUUGCUUACCUGACAACAGCACAAGUAUCAAGGAACAACUCUGCAUUGUCCAGCUUCUUCCGUGGUGCCUCUAGCUAAACCAUAUGUAGCAUUUUAAAUAACAAUUUCCUGCAAAACUCUGUAACACUACCCACCGCUUGUGAAUGAUUAAUAAAGCUAUAAGGAAGUCCUUACUUAUCACUCACCUCAGCCCACUCAGAGUUGAAAUACAUUGCAGUCAAUAAAGUGCCAACAAUGGAACCUCAAGAUGGUAUGCAUGUAUUGUCUUUUUUCAGUAGAAUGGAUGACACUGAAUAGUAUUUCUGAUGUUUGUAGGUCAGAGACACAGUGGGUGAGUGUUUCUGUUUGUCAUAACCAAUACAAAACAGGGUGGAGGAUUUUAUGGCUGCAAUACCCAGGCAAGCGCUGC